AGCGAACGCUGGCGGCAGGCCUAACACAUGCAAGUCGAGCGGGCACCGCAAGGUGUCAGCGGCAGACGGGAGAGUAACACGUGGGAACGCGCCCUUCGGUUCGGAAUAACUCAGGGAAACUUGAGCUAAUACCGGAUACGCCCUUACGGGGAAAGAUUUAUCGCCGAAGGAACGGCCCGCGUCUGAUUAGCUAGUUGGUGAGGUAAUGGCUCACCAAGGCUACGAUCAGUAGCGGUCUAAGAGGAUGAUCAGCCUCACUGGGACUGAGACACGGCCCAGACUCCUACGGGAGGCAGCAGUGGGGAAUAUUGGACAAUGGGCGCAAGCCUGAUCCAGCCAUGCCGCGUGGAUGAUGAAGGCCCUAGGGUUGU
rnacentral:rRNA from 1 species